UACGUAGGGCGCAAGCGUUGUCCGGAAUCAUUGGGCGUAAAGCGCGCGUAGGUGGCCCUGUAAGUCCGUUGUGAAAGUCAAAGGCUCAACCUUUGAAAGCCGAUGGAUACUGCAGGGCUAGAGUACGGAAGAGGCGAGUGGAAUUCCUGGUGUAGCGGUGGAAUGCGCAGAUAUCAGGAGGAACACCAAUAGCGAAGGCAGCUCGCUGGGACGUUACUGACACUGAGGCGCGAAAGCGUGGGGAGCGAACAGG
rnacentral:rRNA from 1 species